GUUGGAUAUGGCGACAUGUGUCCCUCCACCAUAGGGGGCAAAUUUGUGGGAUCUCUGUGCGCCAUCGCCGGAGUGCUCACCAUAGCUCUACCUGUCCCUGUUAUUGUAUCCAAU